ensembl:lncRNA
CUAUUUUUGGUUAUCUUUCUUAAGCAGGGUAAAAAGACAAAUCAUAGAACAGCUCAAUUUACUGUGACUUGAAUUGAGUAUUUGAAGGUAAAAAUUUCUUAUCCAGUCCUGCUGAGAUAGCACUGCAGAAGAAUUUGGUUUCUCAAAAGUGCAAGAUAUCCCCUGCUUUACUCCACACUGGUGUUUGAGUGGAAAAAAUGCACUGUGUCAGGGAGCAAAGAGUGAUAAAAAGCAGAAGGCUUCAAAGCCAGCCAGAUUGUUGAUGGAAUGUUUUCCUCCUAGAUGAACAUGAGAACACUGUACCUACAGAAGGGUUGCCCCAGGAGCCAGCUAGCAGCAUGGGGGUGGAAGCUCCACAUGUUAAACACAGUCUGCAGCUAUGUUGCUCCCAGACCCUUUGACACUGCUGCUGGGUGACAGAGAAACAAGCCUUCAUCAGAUGACAAGUAGUCUGCAGGCUGUAGAACUAGUGAAGGGAAACUCCCCUACAAAAAUCAAGUCUGUGCAAGAACUACAGUUUUAAAAGGUGCAUAGGAGAUGAAGAUGAUCUUACGAGGGGAAGAUAAGUAUGUAUAUGCAGUUGAAUUGGGAUUAGGACAAUAAGAAGAAACCUGUGCAAGUUUUUCUCUUUUGAAAUUGGGUGUCAAACACUUGGAGCUUUCACCAGAUCUUUGUGGACAAGAAGCACCGCAUGCACAUCUGCUGAAGUGCACGGCUCCAUCUGUUAGCAGACUUGGCAGAGGGGUCACAAGUUGGAAGUCCAGAAGGAUUUGGUGAUCAUCUCCCUUUUGUGAAGGCAGUCCAGUCCAGUCAGGUGAUGUUUGAGUUAUCCGAAAUUGCUUUAUCUAUUGAAUUUUAAUGUUUUGAUUAAUGUGUACAAAAUUAUUUUUGUUGCCGGGUAAGAGCUGAAUAACAGAGAUAAAUUAUUUGUUACAGGGAAGAUUACAUUUCUUGAUGAAAUAUCUUGAACUAUGAAAGGAAGUUAAGAAAUAGAUAUUUUCAAGGAGGGGUAGAGAUUCUAUUUUUUUUUACUCCAUAUUCUUGCAUACAUUGAUUUCUAUACCUCAUUAUUCUUGUGCCUGUAUAAUUAGGUAUAACCCAGCUGUGACAAUCAACAGCAGUUAUUCUUGAAGGAAAGUCGGCAUAACCAAAAAGUCAGGGUUUUGAAGCCUCACUCAAAUUCGGCAGCAUUUCUGCUAUGUGUAGGUUUUAUUUUAUUUUAUUUAAUGUAAAACGGCCAUGAGAAACAUUUCUCAAGUUAUGAAGCAGUAAUCCAGGCUAGUUUUUUAAAGUUUAGUGCCACAAGGUUAUGUAGGUACCAAAAUGCACCACAGGACUGUCCCUGGUUAUUGUGGGUCCCUUCCACCUCCAAGGAAUCCAUGAUUCCACUCAAUGAUUUGGCCUUCAGGCACUGGGCAUUUGUGAUCUCUGCCCAUAAGACACUCAUGGUAUCUUGCACGAGGAACGGUCCCAGUGUGUGCAAUGAGAAUUCUGAGGAAGGACCGCUGCUUCCUGAGGUGGUAGCAGAGGCAUGGCGCAGCCCUGGGGAAGGCUGUUGCUGGGUCUGGGAGCGUGACUUGG